AAUAUUGGACUAUAGGGGCAAGGCUGCUCCAGCCAUGCCGCGUGUGUGAAGAAGGUCUUCGGAUUGUAAAGCACUUUAAGUUGGGAGGAAGAGCUUUAGGCUAAUACCCUGAAGUUUUGACGUUACCAACAGAAUAAGCACCGGCCAACUCUGUGCCCGCAGCCGCGGUAAUACAGAAGGUGCAAGCGUUAAUCGGAAUUACGGGGCGUAAAGCGCGCGUAGGUGGUUCAGUAAGAUGGGUGUGAAAUCCACGGGCUUAACCUGGGAACUGCUUUCAUAACUGCUGAGCUAGAGUACGGUAGAGGGUAGUGGAAUUUCCUGUGUAGCGGUGAAAUGCGUAGAUAUAGGAAGGAACACCAGUGGCGAAGGCGACUACCUGGACUGAUACUGACACUGAGGUGCGAAAGCGUGGGGAGCAAACA
rnacentral:rRNA from 1 species